GAUGAACGCUAGCGGCAGGCUUAAUACAUGCAAGUCGAACGGUAAGGUUUCUUCGGAGACACACGAGUGGCGCACGGGUGCGUAACGCGUAUGCAACCUACCUAUAACUGGGGAAUAGCCCGGAGAAAUCGGGAUUAAUACUCCAUAACAUCCUUUGGAUGCAUAUCUGAGGGAUUAAAGCUCCGGCGGUUAUAGAUGGGCAUGCGUGGCAUUAGCUAGUUGGUGAGGUAACGGCUCACCAAGGCGACGAUGACUAGGGGUCCUUAGAGGGUUAACCCCCACACUGGUACUGAGACACGGACCAGACUCCUACGGGAGGCAGCAGUAAGGAAUAUUGGGCAAUGGACGCAAGUCUGACCCAGCCAUGCCGCGUGAAGGAUGACUGCCCUAUGGGUUGUAAACUUCUUUUGUACGGGAAAAAACUCUCGGUCGUGCACCGGGACUGAUGGUACCGUGCGAAUAAGCAUCGGCUAACUCCGUGCCAGCCGCCGCUGUAAGAC
rnacentral:rRNA from 1 species